GAUGAACGCUGGCGGCGUGCUUAACACAUGCAAGUCGAACGAUGAAGCCCAGCUUGCUGGGUGGAUUAGUGGCGAACGGGUGAGUAACACGUGAGUAACCUGCCCUUAACUCUGGGAUAAGCCUGGGAAACUGGGUCUAAUACCGGAUAGGAGCGCCUACCGCAGGGUGGGUGUUGGAAAGAUUUAUCGGUUUUGGAUGGACUCGCGGCCUAUCAGCUUGUUGGUGAGGUAAUGGCUCACCAAGGCGACGACGGGUAGCCGGCCUGAGAGGGUGAACGGCAACACUGGGACUGAGACGCGGCCCAGACUCCUCCGGGAGGCAGCAGUGGGGAAUAUUGCACAAUGGGAGAAAGCCUGAUGCAGCGACGCCGCGUGAGGGAUGACGGCCUUCGGGUUGUAAACCUCUUUCAGUAGGGAAGAAGCGAAAGUGACGGUACCUGCAGAAGAAGCACCGGCUAACUACGUG
rnacentral:rRNA from 1 species